GACGAACGCUGGCGGCAUGCCUAACACAUGCAAGUCGAGCGAGCCUAAUCCUUCGGGAUGAAGCUAGCGGCGGACGGGUGAGUAACACGUGGGCAACCUGCCUCAUAGAGGGGAAUAGCCUCCCGAAAGGGAGAUUAAUACCGCAUAAGAUUGUAGCUUCGCAUGAAGCAGCAAUUAAAGGAGCAAUCCGCUAUGAGAUGGGCCCGCGGCGCAUUAGCUAGUUGGUGAGGUAACGGCUCACCAAGGCGACGAUGCGUAGCCGACCUGAGAGGGUGAUCGGCCACAUUGGGACUGAGACACGGCCCAGACUCCUACGGGAGGCAGCAGUGGGGAAUAUUGCACAAUGGGGGAAACCCUGAUGCAGCAAUGCCGCGUGAGUGAUGACGGCCUUCGGGUUGUAAAGCUCUGUCUUCGGGGACGAUAAUGACGGUACCCGAGGAGGAAGCCACGGCUAACUACGUGCCAGCCGCCGCCGUAA
rnacentral:rRNA from 1 species